AGGUCAAAAGUUUUUGGGUAGAAAAACUAAGAAAUCUUGCCUAGAUUGGUGCCGCAAAGCCUUAAACUAUUGCUGUCAUCGAACUGCGGUGGAGAGAGAAAAUAUUAGUUUAGCAGACAAAUGCAUUGAGCCCAGAGAGUCCGCAUCUCAGAAAUUUCAUAAUCUCCUUGGCUGCCUUCAUCCGGGGAAGCUGGUAUCGACAGUGAAUCGGCAUUAAUUCCAGCUUUUCAUGUUUCUGCUUUAACAAGCAAUAGCAUGUUGUUGUUUCUCUACUUCAUUCUAUAUAAACCGAGUGUUUUUCACUGCUCAAUUCAUCAACUAACAACAUUUCCACAACAGUAUCUAGUUCUUCUUGCCAGAUUCCACUGACCAUUAUGGCCCUGAAGUCUGCGCUCUUUCUUCUGGCCUUCCUGCUCCUAGUUAGCACCAAGGUCACAUCAAUGGAAGAGGAUAUCCUCACAGAGCAUCGUCAUGGUGCCAAAUCCCCUGCUCAUGCACCAGUAAAGCCGCCGGUCCCCUCACCAAAGAAGGCUCCAGUGUACCCACCAGAGAAGGCUCCGCCUAUCCCCUAAGAAAGCUCCCACCUAUCCCCAAAGGUGGCUCCAAUUUAUCCGCCCAAGAAGGCUCCUGCAUACCCUCCCAAAAUUUCUCCAGUUCAUUCCCCGUCUAAGCAUAACCAUGGUGACUGUGUCAAAUUGUGCAUGGAAUACUGCCAGAAGGCGGAGUCGAAAAGGGGAUGCCUGAGGAUUUGCGUACCCUGCUGCGACCAGUACCAGUGCGUCCCCGGACGUCCGGAGAAGAAGUGCGUCACCUGGGACAAAGUGUGGUACCAUAACGACUACCCCUGCCCCACCCCAAGAAAUAUUAAAUCGU